AGUGAUAAAAUUGAAGAGGACAAAACAAAAAGAAAAAAGAAAAAGAAAAGAGAAGAAGCGAAAAGAAGAAAUAAGCAAAAUUUGAACGUAGAGAUAUCUGAUGCAGAUGCAAUAGUACAAACUACUCUGAGCAAAGACGCAAAAUCUCAAGUGGAAAGCCAAUCAAUUUUCCGCUACGAAGCUGAAACAAGUUUGAUUAUCGCCAUAUGCAGAGGGAGUGGCAGUUGAUUUUACAGAGGGGGAGACAACUAAAAUUCGAAACCCUAGAGUUUACCCCCUCUUCGCAUGAAUGUAAUGGCGAUACCAGAAUUUGGUAAUUCGCCUAUACGUACAGACUACAGAGGUUUUGUAUUCAUGGCUUACUUGUAAAUCUUCCUCUACACAGCACAGUCCUUAAUCCGCAUCCGAUCAUACAUGUGAUCGCGCACUCCUAAUCAAACCCGCUUUGAUUUGCUGGGAACCAUCUCGCGCCGCUGCUUUCCGUUGAAUUUCUCCGAUCCGGCCAAGAUUAGGGCGGUUUUCCUCUGUGUUUGGAUCUGCGAUUGAUUGCUUUCUCCCAUGGACGAUCUGGAUAUCCUAGCCCGCGACUUCGGGUUCGGGCCCGGAGGGAAAUCCAAACCGAUGAGAUCCGCGCAGUUCAGCGAGGUGUUUGGCGAGCCCGCCAAGUUCUCACCCAGCACAAAUUAUAGUACUAACACUCAACACUCUUCAAUGGGGGACCUUGAUUAUGAUUCCAUGUUCAAUCGGGAGGCGAAUAGUGUUAACAAUACUAGCAGCCGCAAAACGUCGUCGGCGUCGGCUCCUGUUUAUGAUGAGCCGGUGUAUGAUGACGAUAUUUUUAAAGGGCUGCCGGGGUUGAAGAACAACUCACCUACGUCGGCAGUUAGGUCUGACAGUGACGUGUUUACUGGGAUAUCAUCUCACACCUCGAGUAAGGGUGGAAAUCAGAACCAUGAUUUUGAUGAUUUGUUGGGGAAUUUGGGGAGGAGCGAACAAGCAAAGGAGAACAUUAUGAGUAGUAGUGAUAGGAGCAAGAGCAACUCGACUUCAAAGGGGUUUGAUGAUUUACUUGCAGGGUUUGGCAACGGCGCUUCUGCUGCUAGCAACAGACCUAUAACAGAGUCAAAUUCGAGCUCUGUACCAGUUGGUGGCUCAAAGCAUGGGAGUGUUCUGGAUGAAACUUUUCUAGUUUCGGAAUCAGUUUCAACCCAAGGUUCUUCGUCAUCGAGGGUAUUUCCAGAUCCACUGGAGGAGAGCAGUAAGCAUGGAAAAUCUAGGAGCACAAGGGCUGAAGCUUCAUCUGGUGGUGGCAGAGGAUUUGAUGACUCAGAUACUCUUGGAAAACCUACCCAGUCUUUUUCCCGUGGGAAGGAUACAAGAGAUAAAGAAGGGAUCCCCUUAAGAUCUGCAUCACCGCAAUUUGUUUCAACGAGAGAAAAGAUGGGGAGUUCUUCUUCCAGAUACUCAGAACGCAAUACGGAGAAGAAAACUCCUCUAGAUAACUUUCAGGAACCUCCCUUAUUUGACAUGCCAAAUUUUUCUACAGACUUUCAGAAAUCUUUUGAUCAAACUGCUCCUCCUCAAUACUUUGAAGCAAGCUCACAAGUUGAUAUGUCUCCAACAUCAUCAGGAUUGGGACAGCAGUCUGAUGAUGUAUGGUUGAAUGUAUCAGAGAUUCCUCUUUUCACGCGACCCACAGCUGCUCCACCUCCUUCACGACCUCCGCCACCCAUUCCUCAUCAUAAGUUAAGGGCAGAAACACUUUUCCCUUAUUCAAGUUCAAAAAAGACCAGUGAUAAAUUCCAUCCACCAUCAAAUCAUAGUCAAUAUUCCCAAAGUCCUAAGCUGUCACGUCCUGUGACCAAGGGCCAGCAACUUCCACAGUUCGAUGAACCUGAGGACUUUGUCCAGGGUGGGUCGCAAAAUGGCCUUGAUGAAAGUGUAAAUCUGCAUUCCUCUGAAGAUACCAAUGCAUUCUCGGCUGCUGCUGACGCAUCAGCUGCAGCUAUGAAGGAGGCCAUGGACAAAGCUGAGGCUAAAUUCAGGCAUGCUAAGGAGGUGCGUGAAAGGGAAUAUGUAAAGGCUGCCAGAUAUAAGGAACCUGUGCAGCCGGAGAAAGAUGAGCAAGAUGGUCAGGAGAGAAAUCUGAGAGAAAUCAAUGAGAUAUUGGAGCGUGAAAGGAAACAAAAGGAGGAGGAAGAGAGAGAGCAGAUAAGACAUCAGAGGGAGAGGGAGAGGGAGAGAUCAAGGGAGAUUGAAAGAGAGAAAGGUAGACAGGCUGUAGAAAGGGCUAAUCGUGAAGCACGUGGAAGGGCAGCAGUUCAUGCACGUGAAAAAGCAGCAGCCGAAGCUCACUUAAGAGCUGAAAGGGCUGCCGUUGAGAAGGUAAGUGCUGAAGUUCGAGGACGUGCUGAAAAAGUAGCCGUGCAAAGAGUACAAGCUGAGGCCCGUGAAAGAGCUGCUGUAGAUGCCAGAGGGAGAGCAGAAAAGGCUGCUGCAGAAGCUAGGGAAAGAGCCACUGCUGCAGAAACAAAGGAUAAAGAACUUAGGGAGAAAACAUUUGCGGUAAGCGCUGAAGUGGAAGCAAGGCGUCGGGCUGAAAGAGCUGCUGUUGAAAGGGCUGCAACAGAAGCACGUGAAAGGGCAGCUGCAGCAGCAGCAAAGAUGAAUCAACAGAGGAAUGACGAUGAUCUGGAAUCCUUUUUUAGCAUGGGACGAGCAAGCAGUGCACCUAAGGCACGAGAAAAUUCUACUAAUCCCUUUUCUGAUCAGCAAUUCCAGAACAAGGGAGGAUCUGAAUCUGGAAAGAGAACAUCAUCUUCUAGUGGAGCCUCGUCCAACAUGAAGAAAGUUUUUUCCACUUCUAAUAUUGUUGAUGAUUUAUCUUCUGUUUUUGGAGCUCCAUCAGCUGGAGAAUUCCAGGAUGUUGGAGGGGAAACUGAAGAAAGAAGACAAGCCAGGCUGGAGCGCCACCAACGCACUCAAGAGCGUGCUGCUAAAGCAGUGGCUGAGAAGAAUCAACGGGACCUUCAAGCUCAGAUGGAGCAAGAAGAAAGACAUAGGAUUGCUGGGACAUUAGAUAUUGAAAUCAAGCGCUGGGCCGCUGGAAAAGAAGGAAAUCUGCGAGCCUUAUUGUCAAGUUUGCAAUACGUGCUUUGGCCUGAAUGUGGCUGGCAGCCUGUUUCAUUGACAGAUUUAAUCAUCGGUGCCUCUGUCAAAAAAGCCUAUAGAAAAGCUACCCUUUGCAUUCAUCCUGACAAGGUGCAGCAAAAGGGCGCCACUCUCCAACAGAAGUACAUCGCUGAAAAGGUCUUCGACCUGCUUAAGUCACCAGGUAACAAAUCUUGAUGCAAAAUGGGCCUGGUACAGAAAUCAAGCCUGUUCGGUGCUAAUGCAGGUUACCUAGGGAUGGAGUUGCAUGGUUGAAAGAUGAAAGAUAUGCAAGGUGAUAUUGGAUAUGAUGCAAAGUAGCAGCAUCGAUCUCAUCAGGUGCAUUCCCUCUCAAAUUACCCAAGGAUACAAAUAAAUGUAGAGGAUCUGACCAUCUCAGCAGUUGAGAAGCCGACUCAUAGAGUAUCAUGAUUAGGGGCUGAAUGAAACUCAAGAUGCCAACCACCUAAUGUGAACUUACAAGAGUUGCUAUCAAGGUUAACUUGGAACAGGACGAUGUUUGUCAGUUCAACUAAACAAGGUCCUUUCCACACAGAGAUAGAGAAUUAGCAAUGAACAUCCUUGCUGAGCAAGUAGUAGGAGACUUAGUUGCAUAGGGAUCAUACCUGAUCACUAUUUAGCUGCAUGUGAUCAAACACUAUAGGAGCCAAAUAUUCGUCUUCUUCAUCAUCCCAUGUUGUGAUCAAUUUUUCAGGCUCUGCAGCGAACCAAAAAUUAAUCCAAGGCAGAAAUGACCAAAGUGGAGGGAAUAAAUCCAAAUAGAUCAUUGUUUAACAUGCACCCAAUCCGAGAUCAUUGUUAAUCAUGUUCUUUAGAGAGGAGGGUAUUAAACCUUUUCUACUUUCUCCUCUCCCAAGAUCCUCAUAAAAUAUGUUUUGCAUUUCUAAUAGAAUCUCCUCGCAGUCGCCUGCAUAAGCUGUCUGAAGACCAUCAUAUUCCCAUAUCAUGUCAUCAGUAGCAUUACGACACGUUGGAGCUGAACUUUCAUCCAAAGAUGAGAAGAUGAGAAGAAAAAACUAAAAUAAACACAAUACACUGUAAAAGAAUAAAUUCAAUAAAAAGCUGGUGGUCUGACUUUGACAACAAGACUCCACAGCAUGACUUCUCUUCAAAGAUCCGAGUUGACAAAGUUGUUGUGGUAGUGGUAGCAACUUAGAGUUCAUCUACCGCCGCGGUGGUUUCGUUGGUGGUGGUAGUGGUGGCGGUGAACUAUAAAAUCAAUCCGCAAUGCUGGAAAACCCUAGUUCAGAUGCACCAGCUGCUGCUGGCAUCGCUACCGUCAAGCGAUACGCUCCUCCCAAUCAACGGAACCGAUCACUUGGCAGGCGCAAAUCUGGUGGAGAUUGACUAGAACGGGCAAACAGCUAUGUGAAUGAUGUAGAUAGAAACCCAGUUGGCGCCCCCAAAGGUGGUGGUCUAGCAGAUCAUGGGGAUUUAGGCUAUGCCACUCGUGCCAAUGAAAGUCUUCGUGCGAAGUUAAUACCUUUACAUGGGUGUUGCAACAGUGAAGCUUCUCAGCUGCUGAACAACCGUUGGACAACUGCCAUGAAUGCAAACAACAGUUUGCCUGAAGAUUCAUCUGAAAGGCCGGUCUUGUAUGCAAGGAAGAGUUCUGCACCAUGGGGUCACACAAUUCUUCCACACCUGCUGAUUCAACCUACCGGUGGGGCGUCUAGUGGGUUGCAGGGAGAUUUCUUAAAUGAACUCCGACAGGCAAUGGAUAAUGCAAGUCCCUUCUCCUAAUCCGUUGCUCACCACUUAUAUGCGAUUAACUUAGCAUUUGGUGGAUUUGAUCCUUGAGCUGUAUGACUAGGAUUUGUUGUAUGUGCUUUAUGCCAUGUUCCUGUGCUGCACCUUCCAAUGUAAUCUAUCUACCUAGCACCAAAAUGUCGAAGAUGACUCAGUGUGUUACCUGCUUGUGUAUCAUAGGAUGCUAUAUUGCUGUUAAAAGUCCAUUAGGACCACGUUUCACCUUGUUAGACAACCAGAUCUUGUCUUAUUUUGAUCUAACAUUUGAUUAAAAACAAUUUUCACCUUCCUUGGGGAGGGGUCUUUAGAUUGAAUAUAAUUAUUUUCCUA